GAUGAACGCUGGCGGCGUGCUUAACACAUGCAAGUCGAACGGUGAAGCAGGAGCUUGCUCUUGUGGAUCAGUGGCGAACGGGUGAGUAACACGUGAGCAACCUGCCCCUGACUCUGGGAUAAGCGCUGGAAACGGCGUCUAAUACUGGAUAUGUGAUGUGACCGCAUGGUCUGCAUCUGGAAAGAAUUUCGGUUGGGGAUGGGCUCGCGGCCUAUCAGCUUGUUGGUGAGGUAAUGGCUCACCAAGGCGUCGACGGGUAGCCGGCCUGAGAGGGUGACCGGCCAGACUGGGACUGGGACACGGCCCAGACUCCUACGGGAGGCAGCAGUGGGGAAUAUUGCACAAUGGGAGGAAGCCUGAUGCAGCAACGCCGCGUGAGGGAUGACGGCCUUCGGGUUGUAAACCUCUUUUAGCAGGGAAGAAGCGAAAGUGACGGUACCUGCAGAAAAAGCACCGGCUAACUACGUGCCAGCCGCCGCAGUAA
rnacentral:rRNA from 1 species